rnacentral:rRNA from 1 species
GGGUUUGAUCCUGGCUCAGAGUGAACGCUAGGGGUACGCAUAACACAUGCGAGUCAACGUAUCGUGGCGAACGGGUGAGUACAGCAGGCAAUUACGCCCGGUAGCUCAGAAUAAAUUCUGGAUAAAAAGAUUAAUCGUUGCCGGAUAUGUCUGUGUAGGAUUAGAUAAUCGUAGAGAGUCGAUGAUCCUUAGUUGAUCUGGGAAGGAUGCACAGCCACAUUGGAACUGAGACAAGGUCCAAGCUCCAGUAGGAGGCAGCAGUGAGGAAUAUUGGGCAAUGGGCGAAAGCCUGACCCAACGAUACCCCGUGAUUGAAGAAGACCAAGGUCGUAAAGGUACGCGGUCAGUAAAGAUUACGACGGUAACUGGCCAAAAAGCCCCGGCUAACUCCGUGCCAGCAGCCGCGGUAAUACGGGGGAUGCAAGCGUUAUCCGGAAUUAUUGGGUGUAAAGCGUCUGUAGGUUGCUUACUUAAGUCAGUUGUUAAAUUUCAGAACUCAAUUUUGAUACCAGCAACUGAAACUAAUAAGCUAGAGUCAAGUAGAGGUAGAAGGAACUCCGAGUGUAGCGGUGAAAUGCGUAGAUAUUCGGAAGAACACCGAUGGCGAAAGCAUUCUGCUGGACUUGUACUGACACUGAGAGACGAAAGCGAGGGGAGAGAAUGGGAUUAGAUACCCCAGUAUUCCUCGCCGUAAACGAUGGAUAUUAGGUAUUAGGUAAAACUAUUUAGUACUGAAGCUAACGCGUUAAAUAUCCCACCUGGGGAGUAUGCUCGCAAGAGUGAAACUUAAAGGAAUUGACGGGGGCCCGCACAAGCGGUGGAGCAUGUGGUUUAAUUCGACAACGCGAAGAACCUUACCAGGACUCGACUACAUCUAUCGCUCUUUGAAAGAAGAGAUUGUUAAGGAUGACAGGUGGUGCAUGGCUGUCGUCAGCUCGUGCCGUGAGGUGUUGGGUUAAGUCCCGCAACGAGCGCAACCCUUGUUUUUAGUUAUUUCUCUAAAAGUACUGCCGGUGACAAACCGGAGGAAGGUGGGGAUGACGUCAGGUCAUCAUGGCCCUUACGGCCAGGGCUACACACGUGCUACAAUGGUGCGUACAGAGGGCUGCAAACCCGCGAGGGGGAGCUAAUCUCACAAAACGCAUCGUAGUCCGGAUCGGAGUCUGCAACUCGACUCCGUGAAGUCGGAAUCGCUAGUAAUCGCGAAUCAGAAUGUCGCGGUGAAUACGUUCCCGGGCCUUGUACACACCGCCCGUCACACCACGGAAAUUGGCUACACCCAAAGCUAUUACCUUAACCAAAUCAAGGAGAGGGGUAUCU